UAUCACAUGGUGUCUUUAUUGGUUUGGCUCAAUGGUAUUAACUUUGCAAAUAAUCCCUGGUAGAUAACUUGUCAUCCGCAGAAUUGUAAGAUAUAGUGUGAACAGUAUUACAGAUGGUAGGCACAAUAAGUACACCAACCUUUCCAAUUAACAAAUGUUGUUGCUCAUAAUUAUUACUAGUAGUGACAUCUGUAGAGGCAUUUAUUACCAGUAGCUAUUUCUUUAUCAAAAUGGCACAGCCUAGACAUUGAGAGACAACCCAUUGCGUGAGUACUUUUACUUUUAAUAAAGUAGGAUUGUUGAUGUAGUACUUUUACUUUUACUUUUACUUUUAUCUUCCUGGGUACUUGUACUUUUACUUAAGUACUAAACUUCAGUACUUCCUCCACCACUGACAGGCACACACACACACACAGGUACACACACAGGCACAGACACACACAGGCACAGACACACACACACACACACACACACAAGCACACACACAGAGUUACACACACAGGCACAGACACACACAGGCACAGACAAACACAGACACACACACACACAGGCACACACACACACAGGCACACACACACAGAGCUACACACACGGGCAUACAGACACACAGGCACAUACAAACAGGCAUACACACACAAGAACACACACACAGAGUUACACACACACACACAGAGUUACACACACAGGCACACACACACACACACACAGGCUCACUCACACACAGGCACACACACACAGGCACACAAACACACAGGCACACACACACACACAGACACACAGGCACACAAACACAGAGCUACACACACAGGCACACACACACACAGGCAAUCACACACACACAGGCACACACACAGGCACACACAUACAAGCAUACACACACAGACACGCACACACACAGACACGCACACACACACACAGACAUGCAUACACACAGGCACACGCACACAGACACGCAUACGCACACGAACACACAGACACAAACACAGACAUAGACACAGACACAGACACACAUGCACACACACACACACACACACACACACACAAGCACACACACAGAGUUACACACACAGGCACAGACACACACAGGCACAGACAAACACAGACACACACACACACAGGCACACACACACACAGGCACACACACACAGAGCUACACACACGGGCAUACAGACACACAGGCACAUACAAACAGGCAUACACACACAAGAACACACACACAGAGUUACACACACACACACAGAGUUACACACACAGGCACACACACACACACAGGCUCACUCACACACAGGCACACACACACAGGCACACAAACACACAGGCACACACACACACACAGACACACAGGCACACAAACACAGAGCUACACACACAGGCACACACACACA
rnacentral:lncRNA from 1 species